GGUUCACGUUCCUCCAGUGUCGAAAAAAAGUUCCUCCUGGCAACGUUGUAUCACUAUCUCAAAAAUGUUAAAGUGUGAGGACACCAAAUCUAACAGAUCCCGGGACAAGAGCUUCGGCUAGGAAGAUGUAACCAGAGGGUGUGUACCUACCUGGACCAGCAGCUCCAGCUUCCUGUCGUCCAGGAGGUGCACCUGGCACAGCCGGCCCUCCGUCAUCUGUGGGAAGGGAACAGACAUGACAGCAUGGUACUCCGGAUACAGUUUCCUGAAGACAGCAGAUGUCUCCACCCAUCAUAUUCCACAGGAAAACUCAAAAUAACCUGUAUGAUUUGGACCAGCAGAGGCGUUACA